rnacentral:rRNA from 1 species
GAUGAACGCUGGCGGCGUGCUUAACACAUGCAAGUCGAACGGAAAGGCUCCUGCUUGCAGGGGUACUCGAGUGGCGAACGGGUGAGUAACACGUGGGUGAUCUGCCCUGCACUUCGGGAUAAGCCUGGGAAACUGGGUCUAAUACCGGAUAGGACGAUGGUUUGGAUGCCAUUGUGGAAAGUUUUUUCGGUGUGGGAUGAGCUCGCGGCCUAUCAGCUUGUUGGUGGGGUAAUGGCCUACCAAGGCGUCGACGGGUAGCCGGCCUGAGAAGGUGUACGGCCACAUUGGGACUGAGAUACGGCCCAGACUCCUACGGGAGGCAGCAGUGGGGAAUAUUGCACAAUGGGCGCAAGCCUGAUGCAGCGACGCCGCGUGGGGGAUGACGGCCUUCGGGUUGUAAACUCCUUUCGCUAGGGACGAAGCGCAAGUGACGGUACCUGGAGAAGAAGCACCGGCUAACUACGUG